AUUGAACGCUGGCGGCAGGCCUAACACAUGCAAGUCGAGCGGAGCGGCGGACGGGAGCGUAAUGCUUAGGAAUCUGCCUGGUAGUGGGGGAUAACGUCCGGAAACGGGCGCUAAUACCGCAUACUAUCAGAUGAGCCUAGGUCGGAUUGGCUAGUUGGUGGGGUAAAGGCCUACCAAGGCGACGAUCCGUAACUGGUCUGAGAGGAUGAUGGGUCACACUGGAACUGAGACCAGGUCCAGACUCCUACGGAAGGCAGCGGUGGGGAAUAUUGGAAAAUGGGCGAAAGCCUGAGCCAGACAUGCCGGGUGUGUGAGGAAGGUCUUCGGAUUUAAAAGCACUUUAAGUUGGGAGGCGUUACCAACAGAAUAAGCACCGGCUAACUUCGUGCCAGCAGCCGCGGUAAUUC
rnacentral:rRNA from 1 species